UAAAGGAUCCAAGGACACAAGAACCAUACAAACUGAUUGGGAUUCCAAGGGCCUCCUGGAGCAUUUGCCACUUCGUGUUCUAUAAUUGAAUUACAUGACCCAGACCACAUACUGUCCCUUGGGCUGCCCAGGAGAGCUACAGACUGGAAAGUGAGUGUUGCUUUCAUUGGCUGAGGAAGUGGUGAGGGUGUGUGUGUGUAUUUACAGCGGAAACCAGGAUACCUAGUUUGGCCAUCAGGGCAAUGGAUCUAUGGAAUCAAAGUCAACAGAGAAGAUGAAGAGUUGAGUUUCUGCCAUGAGCUGCUGUUGCCUGGGUGGGGGAACACUCUGCAAACACUUGGCCUGGAUGCGAGACGGGACCCUCCAGCUCUCUGUGCUGCUGGAAACACAAAUGGCAGUUCCUGGAGCUGCGCCAGCGGAGAGCCCUGGGAGGCGAGGACUGUCUCACUCACUCAGUCACACAUGGGUAUCAUUGACGGCUUAUUGUGCCUGAGCCCUGCCAAGUGUUGGGAAAACCUCCGCUGCCACCAAUGCUAAUGCUAUCUCCCAGAUUACUAAUACGGAUUAAUAUUGACUGAGUGUUUACCAGGUGCUAUGCUAAGUGCUUCACACAAAUUGUUACAAUUAAUGCUCAGAACAGCCUCAUGAUGUAGAUGCUCUCAUUAAUCCAUUUUUCCAUAAAAAGAAAUUGAGGUUUAGGAGCCCCUGGGUGGCUCAGUCAGUGAAGCAUCUACCUUUGGCUCAGGUCAUGAUCCCAGGGUCCUGGGAUCCAGCUGGCUUUGGGCUCCCUGUUCAGCUGG